rnacentral:rRNA from 1 species
GCUGUGGAACUCCUACGGGAGGCAGCAGUGGGGAAUAUUGGACAAUGGGGGCAACCCUGAUCCAGCAAUGCCGCGUGAGUGAAGAAGGCCUUCGGGUUGUAAAGCUCUUUUGUCAGGGAAGAAACGGUAGUAGCUAAUAUCUAUUACUAAUGACGGUACCUGAAGAAUAAGCACCGGCUCACUACGUGCCAGCAGCCGCGGUAAUACGUAGGGUGCAAGCGUUAAUCGGAAAUACUGGGCGUAAAGCGUGCGCAGGCGGUUGUGUAAGUCAGAUGUGAGAUCCCCGGGCUCAACCUGGGAAUUGCAUGUGAGACUGCACGGCGAGAGUGUGUGAGAGGGGGGUAGAAUUCCACGUGUAGCAGAGAAAUGCGUAGAUAUGUGGAGGAAUACCGAUGGCGAGGGCAGCCCCCUGGGAUAACACUGACGCUCAUGCACGAAAGCGUGGGGAGCAAACAGGAUUAGAUACCCCGGUAGUCCUACCACGU